AGACUUUGGAGGUUUCCACUAUGAGAUUCUACCUAUCAUAGAAUAUUGGAGAUUCACCCCUAGAUAGAUUAUCGAUUUAGAAGUGAUUUGACUAAAUUGAGACAUUAAAAAUCUUAGCUUUGUGUUAGCCUUGGAGGCUUGAGCUAAUAUAAGGUGAAAUUUGAUCAACCUUAUCUAAACAUGUAGACGCUAAUUAAAGUUGUUUUAAGACUAGAGUUCAAUUCUCUACGACUCCACCA
rnacentral:tmRNA from 1 species